GUCGGCAAGUGAUGUGAACAUUUAUAUGCUAUCACUCAAUGGAAAUUUCCAUGUGUGGACCAAUAAUCUCCGCUUAUUAUCUGAUGCCUUC
rfam:Oryza nivara chromosome 3, whole genome shotgun sequence.